CUUCAGUGAUGAUACGAUGACGAGUCGGAAUGGAACACAGCCUGUCUCUGGGGUCACAGGGUCAGGGUCACGUUCUGUGUCUCUGGGUUCAGUACCCCAGAGCAGUGUGUUUUUUCAGUUGAAGACAUCGAGGCAUUUGUCUGAGAAGG
ensembl:snoRNA SNORD15 Small nucleolar RNA SNORD15